UGGGGAAUAUUGGACAAUGGGCGCAAGCCUGAUCCAGCCAUGCCGCGUGAGUGAUGACGGCCUUAGGGUUGUAAAGCUCUUUUGUCCGGGACGAUAAUGACGGUACCGGAAGAAUAAGCCCCGGCUAACUUCGUGCCAGCAGCCGCGGUAAUACGAAGGGGGCUAGCGUUGCUCGGAAUCACUGGGCGUAAAGGGCGCGUAGGCGGCUUAUCAAGUCGGGGGUGAAAGCCCGUGGCUCAACCACGGAAUGGCCUUCGAUACUGGUAGGCUUGAGACCGGAAGAGGACAGCGGAACUGCGAGUGUAGAGGUGAAAUUCGUAGAUAUUCGCAAGAACACCAGUGGCGAAGGCGGCUGUCUGGUCCGGUUCUGACGCUGAGGCGCGAAAGCGUGGGGAGCAAACAGG
rnacentral:rRNA from 1 species